rnacentral:rRNA from 1 species
CACGUAGGGUGCGAGCGUUGUCCGGAAUUAUUGGGCGUAAAGAGCUCGUAGGCGGUGUGUCGCGUCGGCCGUGAAAACCUGCAGCUUAACUGUGGGCUUGCGGUCGAUACGGGCAUCACUGGAGUUCGGCAGGGGAGACUGGAAUUCCUGGUGUAGAGGUGAAAUGCGCAGAUAUCAGGAGGAACACCGGUGGCGAAGGCGGGUCUCUGGGCAGUAACUGACGCUGAGGAGCGAAAGCGUGGGGAGCAAACAGG